ACACACACACACACACACACACACACACACACACACACACACACACGGUGGGCUGGGGAGGAGGGACAGUCAAAAUUUUCAGACAGGUUUGGAAAACACAACUCUUUUCCAGAAUAAAUCUGCUUUGAUUCUAUGCAUCAUAAACAAAGUUGCCAUUACCAAAAAAUUCUAUCCAAAAUAUUCUAUUACUUAAAUAAUCAGUGGGCCCUUUUAUUGAUGGUGGGCAGGUGUAAAAAAAAUGAGGUUUUGCCUCUUUAAAUAAAACACUCUCGGAUGUAUUAGGAGAAACCUAGUGGAUCUAUUUUCUGAACAGUGAAGCAAGAAGGUCUUUGGUAACAGCCCCGUUAAAUAAGAUUUAAAAUUUCAAUGUCUUCUUUAGUUUGAGGUUGAGCACUAAGUUGGCAUUGGUUUUAAAAAUUGUUUGGCUGAAAUAAAACCCUUUUCCCUCUAGAAAUGUAGCAUUAGUCUAAUUCCCAGCAAAAAGAAUACAUAAAUAAGUAAAUAAAUAAAGACAAAAAUCUUGGCAAUGUGUUUUUGCCGUUAAUAAACUUCCCUUUAUUCUUCCUAAACCUCACAAAAUAUCCCCAAACUAAAGUCUCAUUCAACCUAAAGCUUGAUAUAUAGGCUUUCAGAUUAAGCCAUCUACAUUUAUUGGCUUAGAAUGGGAAAUCCUCUGCUCUAUUUCAUCUAGAUGAUUGGCUGUAUAAUGUUGGCAUAGAAUAUUUUUUGUUGUGAAUAACAUGAAAUUUUGAAGACUGGAUUUAAAAACCUGUCUAUCUUUUGUUCAGUAUGUGUGUGUGUGUGUGUGUGUGUGUGUGUGUGUGUGUCUGUCUCCCUCUGUCUCUCUGUCUGUCUCUGUCUCUCUGUGUGUGUGUGUGUGUGUGUGUGUGAGUGUGUGUGUGUGUGAGUGUGAGUGUGUGUGAGUGUGUGUAAGCAUGACCAGCACAUGAAGCUAACAGGAUGACCUGAGGAAUUGGCAUUCAUCUUCCACCUUGUUUUCGAUAGUGCCUCUUUGCUGUCAGCUGCUGUGUGCCAGGGUCUAGCUGGCCCAGGAUCUUCUGAAGAAUCUCCUGUUUAGACCUCUUAUCUCACAGCAGAAACCCUGGGGGUAGUGGCCUGUGUUACUUCUGUCUGUUUUCAUGUGACUCUGGGCAUUCAAACUCAGGCCCCCAAUCUUGUGUGGCAAGCCCUUUACCCACUGAGCCAUCUCCCCAGCAUCCUUUUGCUUGUUUGAGAAAAACAGUCUGAGUUUCAUUGGCUUGUCUUAAACUCACAAUGUGCUUAAGGACGAUCACAAACUUCUGAGCCUCCUGUUUCACCUCCUGGGAGCUGGGACCACAGGAAGAUGCUCCAUGCUGGCCUAUAAUACUUUUUCUUUUUUUGGUUGUCUCAAGGUUCUGCAGGUGUUUUUCUCUGCAGAAGGCUACACCCUGUUUCAUUUUCUGUUGUUUUUAUUUCUGCCACGUUACAAAGUGAUACACUCAGAUUGUUUCUCCAGAGGUAACAAAAAGAAUCACCAUCCCCUCACCAUGCUGCUACCCCUGGGCCUAGCAUCUUUAAAAUGAGGCAGGCUAGAAUAACAGUCUUCUGUAUGAAGUGGAGACUGUAUGUUGACCAGCCAUAUUAAUACAACUGUCUGGCUGCUCUUGAGAGCCAGACCUGGUGACCUGGCUUAUAUUCUCAACUAGAAGAUGAGCUGUUUAUUCUAAUGGGGUUUACCAAGUGCCAUGACAGCCCUGUGC
rnacentral:lncRNA from 1 species